rnacentral:rRNA from 1 species
GCUUACGGCCAUACCACCCUGAACACGCCCGAUCUCGUCUGAUCUCGGAAGCUAGCAGGGUCGGGCCUGGUCAGUACUUGGAUGGGAGACCGCCUGGGAACCAGGUGCUGUAAGCU